GACGAACGCUGGCGGCGUGCUUAACACAUGCAAGUCGAACGGAAAGGCCCUGCUUGCAGGGUACUCGAGUGGCGAACGGGUGAGUAACACGUGGGUGAUCUGCCCUGCACUUCGGGAUAAGCCUGGGAAACUGGGUCUAAUACCGGAUAGGAGCCAUUUUUAGUGUGAUGGUUGGAAAGUUUUUUUCGGUGUAGGAUGAGCUCGCGGCCUAUCAGCUUGUUGGUGGGGUAAUGGCCUACCAAGGCGGCGACGGGUAGCCGGCCUGAGAGGGUGGACGGCCACAUUGGGACUGAGAAACGGCCCAGACUCCUACGGGAGGCAGCAGUGGGGAAUGUUGCACAAUGGGCGCAAGCCUGAUGCAGCGACGGCGCGUGGGGGAUGACGGCCUUCGGGUUGUAGGCUCCGUUCGCUAGGGACGAAGCUUUUUGUGACGGUACCUAGAUAAGAAGCACCGGCUAACUACGUG
rnacentral:rRNA from 1 species